AACGAACGCUGGCGGCAUGCCUAACACAUGCAAGUCGAACGAGACCUUCGGGUCUAGUGGCGCACGGGUGCGUAACGCGUGGGAACCUGCCCUUAGGUUCGGAAUAACUCCCCGAAAGGGGUGCUAAUACCGGAUAAUGUCUUCGGACCAAAGAUUUAUCGCCUUUGGAUGGGCCCGCGUUGGAUUAGCUAGUUGGUAGGGUAAAAGCCUACCAAGGCGACGAUCCAUAGCUGGUCUGAGAGGAUGAUCAGCCACACUGGGACUGAGACACGGCCCAGACUCCUACGGGAGGCAGCAGUGGGGAAUAUUGGACAAUGGGCGAAAGCCUGAUCCAGCAAUGCCGCGUGAGUGAUGAAGGCCUUAGGGUUGUAAAGCGCUUUUACCCGGGAUGAUAAUGACAGUACCGGGAGAAUAAGCUCCGGCUAACUCCGUG
rnacentral:rRNA from 1 species